rnacentral:rRNA from 2 species
AGAUUAAGUUAUUAAGGGCGCACGGUGGAUGCCUUGGCACUAGAAGCCGACGAAGGACGUUACUAACGACGAUAUGCUUUGGGGAGCUGUAAGUAAGCUUUGAUCCAGAGAUUUCCGAAUGGGGAAACCCAGCACGAGUUAUGUCGUGUUAUCGAUAUGUGAAUACAUAGCAUAUCUGAAGGCAGACGCGGAGAACUGAAACAUCUUAGUACCCGCAGGAAGAGAAAGAAAAAUCGAUUCCCUGAGUAGCGGCGAGCGAAACGGGAAGAGCCCAAACCAACGAGCUUGCUUGUUGGGGUUGUAGGACACUCUAUACGGAGUUACAAAAGAACAGACUAGACGAAUCAUCUGGAAAGAUGAAUCAAAGAAGGUAAUAAUCCUGUAGUCGAAAGUUUGUUCACUCUUGAGUGGAUCCUGAGUACGACGGAACACGAGAAAUUCCGUCGGAAUCUGGGAGGACCAUCUCCCAAGGCUAAAUACUCUCUAGUGACCGAUAGUGAACCAGUACCGUGAGGGAAAGGUGAAAAGUACCCCGGAAGGGGAGUGAAAUAGAACUUGAAACCGUGUGCUUACAAGUAGUCAGAGCCCGUUAAUGGGUGAUGGCGUGCCUUUUGUAGAAUGAACCGGCGAGUUACGAUUUGAUGCAAGGUUAAGCAGUGAAUGUGGAGCCGUAGCGAAAGCGAGUCUGAAUAGGGCGUUGAGUAUUUGGUCGUAGACCCGAAACCAGGUGAUCUACCCAUGACCAGGUUGAAGUUCAGGUAACACUGAAUGGAGGACCGAACCGACUUACGUUGAAAAGUGAGCGGAUGAGUUGUGGGUAGCGGAGAAAUUCCAAUCGAACCUGGAGAUAGCUGGUUCUCUCCGAAAUAGCUUUAGGGCUAGCCUCAAGUGAUGAUUAUUGGAGGUAGAGCACUGUUUGGACGAGGGGCCCUUAUCGGGUUACCGAAUUCAGACAAACUCCGAAUGCCAAUCAAUUUAACUUGGGAGUCAGAACGCGGGUGAUAAGGUCCGUGUUCGAAAGGGAAACAGCCCAGACCACCAGCUAAGGUCCCAAAAUAUAUGUUAAGUGGAAAAGGAUGUGGCGUUGCCCAGACAACUAGGAUGUUGGCUUAGAAGCAGCCAUCAUUUAAAGAGUGCGUAAUAGCUCACUAGUCGAGUGACACUGCGCCGAAAAUGUACCGGGGCUAAACAUAUUACCGAAGCUGUGGAUUGUCCGUAAGGACAAUGGUAGGAGAGCGUUCUAAGGGCGUUGAAGCAUGAUCGCAAGGACAUGUGGAGCGCUUAGAAGUGAGAAUGCCGGUGUGAGUAGCGAAAGACGGGUGAGAAUCCCGUCCACCGAUUGACUAAGGUUUCCAGAGGAAGGCUCGUCCGCUCUGGGUUAGUCGGGUCCUAAGCUGAGGCCGAUAGGCGUAGGCGAUGGAUAACAGGUUGAUAUUCCUGUACCACCAUUAUUCGUUUUAAGCGAUGGGGGG